AGAGUUUGAUCAUGGCUCAGGACGAACGCUGGCGGCGUGCCUAACACAUGCAAGUCGAGCGAUGAAAUCCUUCGGGAUGGAUUAGCGGCGGACGGGUGAGUAACACGUGGGUAACCUGCCUCAAAGAGGGGAAUAGCCUUCCGAAAGGAAGAUUAAUACCGCAUAAUAUGUUUUGGUCGCAUGAUCAGAACAUCAAAGGAGUAAUCCGCUUUGAGAUGGACCCGCGGCGCAUUAGCUAGUUGGUGAGGUAACGGCUCACCAAGGCGACGAUGCGUAGCCGACCUGAGAGGGUGAUCGGCCACAUUGGAACUGAGACACGGUCCAGACUCCUACGGGAGGCAGCAGUGGGGAAUAUUGCGCAAUGGGGGAAACCCUGACGCAGCAACGUCGCGUGAAUGAUGAAGGCCUUCGGGUUGUAAAGUUCUGUCUUCUGGGACGAUAAUGACGUACCAGAGAGAAG
rnacentral:rRNA from 1 species